UACGAAGGGGGGCUAGCGUUGUUCGGAAUUACUGGGCGUAAAAGCGCACGUAGGCGGGGUUUGUAAGUAGGGGGGUGAAAUCCCAGGGCUCAACCCUGGAACUGCCUUCUAAACUGCAAGCCUGGAGGUCAGGAGAGGCGAGUGGAAUACCGAGUGUAGAGGUGAAAUUCGUAGAUAUUCGGUGGAACACCAGUGGCGAAGGCGACUCGCUGGACUGAUACUGACGCUGAGGUGCGAAAGCGUGGGGAGCAAACAGG
rnacentral:rRNA from 1 species